rnacentral:lncRNA from 1 species
GAGCGCCAGUGCGUAGCGACGAUUCUGGGAGAGGAGGUGCUCGGAGGAAAGGGCGGGGGUUGCUGAUGUAAUGGGGAGAAGUGAUUAAUCCUUCGGUUCGCCGUUUCAGCUUCCCCCCUACCCCAACCUUCACCCGAUUUUUUUGAGCUGAAAAAAAAGUGGAACGAGGGAGCCAAUCUUUGGUCCCACAAACUGCAAGGAAAAGAAAAACCCUCAACAGGAAUUACCUUUAUACCUGAUGCCCCCAACAUAAUCUCUCUCCAAGGGAAACGUGUUUUUAUUGCCUUGCGGCUGAAAAUGUAUUCUCGAUUCUCCCCCUUCUCUCUUUUGUUGUGCAUUUUUUGGAUGUGGUAAAACUGGCAGUUUAUCUGAUUAUCUGGUUUUCAGAACUUUGGGCGAUGUCUCUGAGUGUCAUCAGUUGCUCUCUAGGUUUGACAUAGAUAAUUAAGCAACUACAAAGCGUGAUAAAGCUUUUGAGAGGGAGGAAAAUGUAUUUUGGAAGGAGGGAGAGACGCAAAGAGGCGAGCCUGUGUGUUGAGUCCCAGACUUGGUGUGUGACUACAGGCAAAGUACUUCACCUUUCUAGAUGUCAGCCCCGCCCCCCUCACCUCCCAAGUUUAAAUAAGAACUUAUUUUAGACUACAUGAUCCUGUUUUCAAUUUUUAAGAGUUCUGUGAUUUUGAGAUGAUCUCUCUUUAGUCCAGAAAAAUAGAGAAACGUAGGUCUAUGUUUGUUUCUCAAAAAAAUAUUUGAGGAGGACAGCUGUUACAAAACAGCUGGAGAACUCCAAAUUUUUAUGGUGGUUAGCUAGGUGCAAAUGGGUACAAUUUUAGGUUUGUUCAAAUAAACAUAGGGGAAAAGUAAAAGUACAGGAAAAUUACGUUAUACAUAUAAGUGUGUCCAUCAUUUCUGAUUUUUCUAAAAAUUUACUUUUUUAUUUGACAAGUACUUUUUGGCUCCUUCCGUGUAUGCAUUAAUAUGUAUAUAAGGUGUUAUGGGAAAUACUAAUAAAAGGAAAAUAUUGGGCAUAAAGAGUUUGUA